AUUCACUUUGACAGAACAUAUACUAAAAUUGGAAUGAUACAGAUUUCUAUGGCCCCAGGACAAGAAUUACAUGCAAAUAUGUCAAGUGUUUUAUAUUUUU
ensembl:snRNA U6 U6 spliceosomal RNA